UACGGAGGGUGCAAGCGUUGUCCGGAAUCACUGGGCGUAAAGGGCGCGUAGGCGGCUCAUGAAGGCUGUGGUGGAAGUCCGGGGCUCAACCUCGGAUCGGCCGUGGCGACUCGUGGGCUGGAGCACUGUAGAGGCGGGUGGAAUUCCGGGUGUAGCGGUGGAAUGCGUAGAGAUCCGGAAGAACACCAGUGGCGAAGGCGGCCCGCUGGGCAGUGGCUGACGCUGAGGCGCGACAGCGUGGGGAGCAAACAGG
rnacentral:rRNA from 1 species